GAUAACCAAAGAUAACUGCGGGGUUGAGGGUAGGAUUGGUGAUGAUGCGGACAUCACCGCCACCAGGGGCCCAGGUAUCAUAGACACCGCCAAAGAACAUGGCUUUAAAUACCAACAACAGCGCACCACAACCCAAGAGAAUCAGGUGAUAACCGAUGAUGUUGGUCAUUUGGUUUUUGUCUUUCCA
rnacentral:antisense_RNA from 1 species